rnacentral:rRNA from 1 species
AUACGGAGGGUGCAAGCGUUAUCCGGAAUCAUUGGGUUUAAAGGGUCCGCAGGCGGAUUAAUAAGUCAGUGGUGAAAUCCUCUCGCUCAACGAGAGAACUGCCAUUGAAACUGUUAGUCUUGAAUUCGCUCGAAGUAGGCGGAAUGUGUCAUGUAGCGGUGAAAUGCAUAGAUAUGACACAGAACACCGAUAGCGAAGGCAGCUUACUAGACCUGGAUUGACGCUCAUGGACGAAAGCGUGGGGAGCGAACAGAAUUAGAUACCCCAGUAGUCC